rnacentral:lncRNA from 1 species
AAAAUUUGAUCCUUUAAAACUUUAGCAUUUAUACCAGUUGCAAUUACAUCCUUUACAGGGGAUGAAGAGGGAGUGCAGGGAAGAGGGGAAGAAGGGGCAGUUGAGAAAGAAGAGCUUUGGAUGGUUCUAAUGCCAUCUAACAACACUGGGAAUUCAAAAUGCAGGGGAAAGUUCCCAUCAGGGAGGAUCAUUGCAAGCACAUUGGAUGCAUUGGGUAUGAUCUGUUCCCACUGUGAGUGACAUUGCUUCUUGCUUGCAAAUCUUAAUUGGUUUUGUA